UACGUAGGGUGCGAGCGUUAAUCGGAAUUACUGGGCGUAAAGCGUGCGCAGGCGGUCAUGCAAGACAGAUGUGAAAGCCCCGGGCUCAACCUGGGAACUGCAUUGGAUACUGGCGAUCUGGAGUGCGGUAGAGGGUGGCGGAAUUCCCGGUGUAGCAGUGAAAUGCGUAGAUAUCGGGAGGAACAUCCGUGGCGAAGGCGGCCACCUGGACCAGCACUGACACUGAGGCACGAAAGCGUGGGGAGCAAACAGG
rnacentral:rRNA from 1 species